rnacentral:rRNA from 1 species
UACGUAGGGUGCAAGCGUUAAUCGGAAUUACUGGGCGUAAAGCGUGCGCAGGCGGUUUUGUAAGUCUGACGUGAAAGCCUCGGGCUCAACCUGGGAAUUGCGAUGGAGACUGCAAGGCUUGAAUCUGGCAGAGGGGGGUAGAAUUCCACGUGUAGCAGUGAAAUGCGUAGAGAUGUGGAGGAACACCGAUGGCGAAGGCAGCCCCCUGGGUCAAGAUUGACGCUCAUGCACGAAAGCGUGGGGAGCAAACAGG